rnacentral:rRNA from 1 species
UAGGGAAUCUUCGGCAAUGGACGGAAGUCUGACCGAGCAACGCCGCGUGAGUGAAGAAGGUUUUCGGAUCGUAAAGCUCUGUUGUAAGAGAAGAACGAGUGUGAGAGUGGAAAGUUCACACUGUGACGGUAUCUUACCAGAAAGGGACGGCUAACUACGUGCCAGCAGCCGCGGUAAUACGUAGGUCCCGAGCGUUGUCCGGAUUUAUUGGGCGUAAAGCGAGCGCAGGCGGUUAGAUAAGUCUGAAGUUAAAGGCUGUGGCUUAACCAUAGUACGCUUUGGAAACUGUUUAACUUGAGUGCAAGAGGGGAGAGUGGAAUUCCAUGUGUAGCGGUGAAAUGCGUAGAUAUAUGGAGGAACACCGGUGGCGAAAGCGGCUCUCUGGCUUGUAACUGACGCUGAGGCUCGAAAGCGUGGGGAGCAAACAGGAUUAGAUACCCUGGUAGUCCACGCCGUAAACGAUGAGUGCUAGGUGUUAGACCCUUUCCGGGGUUUAGUGCCGCAGCUAACGCAUUAAGCACUCCGCCUGGGGAGUAUGGUUGCAAAGCUG